UGCCACUCUUAACGGGGUGGCUUUUCAGAAGUGUAAAAAGCUUCUGGAAUAAGGGCUGGGCGAGACCGGUGCCAGCCGCCGCGGUAACACCGGCAGCUCAAGUGGUAGCCGCUUUUAUUGGGCCUAAAGCGUCCGUAGCCGGUCUGAUAAGUCUCUGGUGAAAUCCCACAGCUUAACUGUGGGAAUUGCUGGAGAUACUAUCAUGACUCGAGGUCGGGAGAGGCUGGAGGUACUCCCAGGGUAGGGGUGAAAUCCUGUAAUCCUGGGAGGACCACCUGUGGCGAAGGCGUCCAGCUGGAACGAACCUGACGGUGAGGGACGAAAGCCAGGGGCGCGAACCGGAUUAGAUACCCGGGUAGUCCUGGCCGUAAACGAUGUGGACUUGGUGUUGAGAUGGCUUCGAGCUGCCCCAGUGCCGAAAGGGAAGCUGUUAAGUCCACCGCCUGGGAAGUACGGCCGCA
rnacentral:rRNA from 1 species